rnacentral:lncRNA from 1 species
GUCCUGACGUAGGUUUCAUAUUGUGUCUUUUGCUCAGGGACGGUCCUGGUUUAUCCAUCCGGACAAGGCAAGUCUUUCAAGUGACAAGAGUUGUGGUGGGGAGAUGGAUUUGCUUUUCCCUCACUGUGUUGUAAGACACUUAGGAGUUAUGGUCCCAUGGACUCAAAAGCACGGGGAAGUGAAAUCUCUGCCAAAAUAGGAAUGCCGAGUUGGAGAGUAGAGGCAAAAAUGUGUGCACACGAGAAUCAAGGCGGCCUCCUUGCUCAAUGGCCGGUCACCAGACCAGGUGUCACGUAGCCAGAAGCCUGGUCUCAGGCCUCAGGCUCCUUACUGCCAAGAGAGGAAUGUGGCCUAUGUAAUCUCCGGUGUUCUUUCUAGCAGUAGAAUGCUCUGCUUCCAAGAGCACACAAGCCUUCAUGUAGCCUGUGUAACUAUGACAUGAAUUUCCAGCUUUCACAAGAGGCCACCUCCGAAUCAUGAAUAUCUUCCCGCCAGGCAGAUUUGGAAGGCGAUUGACUCUCCAGUUUGGGUCAUGGAUGUGGAUCCUGCCUUGGGAAUCCCCGGAUUCAACUCCCUCAUCCCAACUCAAAAGGGCUGAUUCUGUUUCUAACCUGUCAGUCAAUUUGGUUCAUCAGAAUCGUCUCUCUGGCCAGCUGACCUGGGAGCCAACGAAGCCAUUGAAAACUCAUGUCUUUCACGGUUUGAUGUCACGGCCUCCGCGUGGACAUCUCUCUGCUUGGGUACAGGAAGCGGACAGCGUCUGUUCCUGUGUCCUCCUCAAUGGAAAUAAAUUCAGCCUCAGGCGGGCCGAAGCCCAGGAACAAAUUGAGUCCUCAGAAGACCGCAUUAUCUGCUUUGCAAACAGCCCAGGAAUCUCGGCUCCUUAG